UACGGAGGGGGCAAGCGUUAUUCGGAAUUAUUGGGCGUAAAGGGCGCGUAGGCGGCUAGAUGUGUCAAAGGUGAAAUCCCUCGGCUCAACUGAGGAACUGCCUUUGAAACUGUCUGGCUUGAGGCCGGGAGAGGGUAGCGGAAUUCCCAGUGUAGCGGUGAAAUGCGUAGAUAUCUGGAGGAACACCGGUGGCGAAGGCGGCAUCCUGGACCGAGACUGACACUGAGGAGCGAAAGCCAGGGGAGCAAACGGG
rnacentral:rRNA from 1 species